UACGUAGGGGGCAAGCGUUGUCCGGAAUCAUUGGGCGUAAAGAGCGUGUAGGCGGCCCGGUAAGUCCGCUGUGAAAGUCCAGGGCUCAACCCUGGGAUGCCGGUGGAUACUGUCGGGCUCGAGUCCGGAAGAGGAGUGUGGAAUUCCUGGUGGUAGCGGUGAAAUGCGCAGAUAUCAGGAGGAACACCAAUGGCGAAGGCAGCACUCUGGGACGUGACUGACGCUGAGACGCGAAAGCGUGGGGAGCAAAC
rnacentral:rRNA from 1 species